rnacentral:rRNA from 1 species
GAUGAACGCUGGCGGCGUGCCUAAUACAUGCAAGUCGAGCGAACAGACGAGGAGCUUGCUCCUCUGACGUUAGCGGCGGACGGGUGAGUAACACGUGGAUAACCUACCUAUAAGACUGGGAUAACUUCGGGAAACCGGAGCUAAUACCGGAUAAUAUAUUGAACCGCAUGGUUCAAUAGUGAAAGACGGUUUUGCUGUCACUUAUAGAUGGAUCCGCGCCGCAUUAGCUAGUUGGUAAGGUAACGGCUUACCAAGGCAACGAGGCGUAGCCGACCUGAGAGGGUGAUCGGCCACACUGGAACGGAGACACGGACCAGACGCCUACGGGAGGCAGCAGUAGGGAAUCUUCCGCAAUGGGCGAAAGCUUGACGGAGCAACGCCGCGUGAGUGAUGAAGGUCUUCGGAUCGUAAAACUCUGUUAUUAGGGAAGAACAAAUGUGUAAGUAACUAUGCACGUCUUGACGGUACCUAAUCAGAAAGCCACGGCUAACUACGUG